rnacentral:rRNA from 1 species
AGCGAACGCUGGCGGCAGGCCUAACACAUGCAAGUCGAACGAACCCUUCGGGGUUAGUGGCGGACGGGUGAGUAACACGUGGGUACGUGCCUUUAGAUUCGGAAUAACUCAGGGAAACUUGUGCUAAUACCGAAUGUGCCCUUCGGGGGCAAGAUUCAUCGCCUUUAGAGCGGCUCGCGUCUGAUUAGCUAGUUGGUGGGGUAAUGUCUCACUCAGGCUACGAGCAGUAGCUGGUCUGAGAGCAUGACCAGCCACAUUGGGACUGAGACCCGGCCCAAACUACUACGGGAGGCAGCAGUGGGGAAUCUUUCGCAAUGGGCGAAAUCCUGUCGCAGCCAUUCCGCGUUGAUGAUGAAGGUCUUAGGAUUGUAAAAUCCUUUCACCGGUGAAGAUAAUGACUGUAGCCGGAGAAGAGGCCCCGGCUAACUUCGUGCCAGCCGCCGCGGUAAUAC